GAUGAACGCUGGCGGCGUGCCUAACACAUGCAAGUCGAGCGAUCUCUUCGGAGAGAGCGGCGGACGGGUGAGUAACGCGUGGGUAACCUGCCCUGUACACACGGAUAACAUACCGAAAGGUAUACUAAUACGGGAUAACAUACGAAAGUCGCAUGGCUUUUGUAUCAAAGCUCCGGCGGUACAGGAUGGACCCGCGUCUGAUUAGCUAGUUGGUAAGGUAAUGGCUUACCAAGGCAACGAUCAGUAGCCGACCUGAGAGGGUGAUCGGCCACACUGGAACUGAGACACGGUCCAGACUCCUACGGGAGGCGGCAGCGGGGAAUAUUGCACAAUGGGCGAAAGCCUGAUGCAGCAACGCCGCGUGAGCGAUGAAGGCCUUCGGGUCGUAAAGCUCUGUCCUCAAGGAAGAUAAUGACGGUACUUGAGGAGGAAGCCCCGGCUAACUACGUGCCAGCAGCCGCUGUAA
rnacentral:rRNA from 1 species